UCAGUAAUUAAAAACAGUAUUUAAAGUAUUAGAGCAUUUGCGAAUUAAUAAAACUAAGGGUCUCUUUAAUAAAAUUCCCAUUAUAAUUUGGGCCUCUUCUCCCUUUGGUUCGCGAGUGGCCCAACGUCGUUCAAAUGUGGUGAGCCGUCGUCCUCCCCAAUAUCAGAAAUUAGGUCUUGCUCGAAGCUUGCGACAUCUUUAAUCUUCCUGACAUCUUCCUGGACAUCUUUGUAAUCAACUAUUCUCGCAUCAGGUAGCUUUAAUCGAUACACCACGGGGCUUACCUUCCGUUCAAUCUGGAAUCGUCCAAAGAAACGCUUGCUCAAUUUUUGGCAAGUCCGCACAUUUACCGAAUUCUAUCGAUAAGGUUGGAGCUUAAGCCACUCCCAUUGCCCUUAAAGGGCUGUGUUAGCG
rnacentral:lncRNA from 1 species